rnacentral:rRNA from 1 species
CCCGUAGUAACGGCGAGUGAAGUGGGAAGUAGCCCAGCACCGAAUCCCCGAGAACACGUUUCGACGGGACCUGUGGUGUUAGGGGCCCCGUCCUUUGGUCAGAUCAACUGUGCUCAAGUCGCAUUGAAGGGUAACAUGCUCCAUAGCGGGUGUCAGACCCUUCGCCGGCCGGUUCGAUCGAUCGAUAAGCGCGGGCCCCAAGAGUCGGGUUGUUUGAGAACGCAGCCCAAAGACGGUGGUAAUUUCCAUCGAAGGCUAAAUACUACCACGAGUCCGAUAGCGAACAAGUACCGUGAGGGAACGUUGAAAAGGACUUCGAAGAGAGAGUUCAAUAGUACGUGAAACCGCCUAAAGGAAAACGAGUGGCUCCGCAUUGUCGGUCCGCGGCGAUCACGCUGUAUGCAUGGCGAAUCUCAGUCGAUCGAGACGAUCGCCUCACUCGUGAGGCCAGUAGCUCUCGACUUGCAGGUUGCUGUCGUGUGUGCGUGUGUACUCACCGCGCGACGGAGCGUCACGAUUGCUUUCUUGCGGCCCGUGGAGCGCAUUCAGACGAGUUUCGGCAGUCGGUUCGUCCGACCGCUGUACGAGUUCUGUCGUGGUUCCCGGAGUCCGAGGGAGCAAGUAACGAUCACCUCGACGUGGUUGUCCGUUAGCUGCGCCGAGGAUGGGCGACCCUCUGACCAGGGGUCCCUGUCCUGGCGUCAUGCGGGCGACUUUCCCGAGGUUUCUGAUCGGUGACGAAUUAGUCGGCCC